rnacentral:misc_RNA from 1 species
GGACAUAGUACUAAGAAGCAGGGCAAUCACGUGAUACUAAAUAUAGUGCGUGUAUGUGAAUAUAGUGUCUGUAUGUGUGUGUAUCAGUUCACAGGUUCAAACAAACCUUGGCAUUUUUAUUCAUAUUUAUGUUAAUUAGCAUAGUUUAUGCACAAAGUAGAAUAAAUUUUAAAGAACGAACCUAACUUUUAGUACCUAUAAAGUACAAACAAUUAAAAAGAAUUUUGUGAAUUUUUCUAAGGUAUGAGCAAUUGUAUUUGUGUUUGGCUGACUUCUUGAGGUGUAGAUGAGUUCUCUAACUUUUAUUGACGCAAAACAAAAUCAGUUUACAUUUGAAAAUCAUCAGCACUACACAAAAUUCAAACUUUUCCAACAACUUUUUU